rnacentral:rRNA from 1 species
GACGAACGCUGGCGGCGUGCUUAACACAUGCAAGUCGAACGGAAAGGCCUCUUUCGGGGGGUACUCGAGUGGCGAACGGGUGAGUAACACGUGAGUAACCUGCCCUUGACUUUGGGAUAACUUCAGGAAACUGGGGCUAAUACCGGAUAGGAGCUCCUGCUGCAUGGUGGGGGUUGGAAAGUUUCGGCGGUUGGGGAUGGACUCGCGGCUUAUCAGCUUGUUGGGGGGGUAGUGGCUUACCAAGGCUUUGACGGGUAGCCGGCCUGAGAGGGUGACCGGCCGCAAUUGGACUCAGGUACGUGCCAGACUCCUACGGGAGGCAGCAGUGGGGAAUAUUGCACAAUGGGUGGAAGCCUGAUGCAGCAACGCCGUGUGCGGGAUGACGGCCUUCGGGUUGUAAACCGCUUUCGCUCAUGACGAAGCUUUGUGUGACGGUAGUGGGUAAAGAAGCACCGGCUAACUACGUG